rnacentral:lncRNA from 1 species
UUCAUUUACAAAUAAAUCUUACUAAUAUCUAUUAUUAUUUUUAUUGAGCAUUGACUAGGUGCUUGGAAAACUCUAAGGGCUUAUAUGUAUGUUCUUAUUUAAUCCUUACAAUAACCUUAUGAGGUAGAUAAUACUAUUUAUCUCCAAUUGAACAGAUGAGGAAAAUGAGGCACAAACACAUUUAGGUCAUUUGCCUUAAUGGUACAGGUGCAAACCCAGGCAGUGAAUCUUGAGCUGUGAUCUUAAUACAACAUCAUAUUACCUCUCUAACUCAUGCUUCAGCACUUUGAAAACAUGCAUAUACUAUGACUAUUCGAAAGUGAUAUUAUAAAAUGUGAGUUCAUUUAUGUAAUUUUAUAGGUUAAAGAAAAAUGUAAACUAUUUAUUACUAAUAGUGGGAAUAGUUUGAUACUUUCAGAUAGGAGUGAAGGCAAGCCUUUGUCCCAGGGUAGCAGAGCUAUAGACUGGGUGAACUUAUGUACAGGUAAUGAGCACAGACAGCAGUCUCGCAGAUCCCAUCAUGCUGGCACGGGCGUGAGGCACAAAGAGCCCCGAGAUAGCCCAACCUGGCCUGGUGCAGAUGCCCACUCCACACAGCACCACAGCCCAGAACCCUGACCAUCCACCAUCUGACAACCUCAACCUCCUGCUUCCCAACAAUCCAUGGGAAAAGGGAAGUGAGGCAGACCUGAAAGGGACCGCAGGACUAACCAAUGGCACUGGUAGUUUUCCAAAUCCUGAUUGGCAUAAAUUUGGACCAAUAGUGUUGAUUCAAGUGCUAUAGAAACCCCUAGACUAGCAUACCCAAGUGGCAACCUGCUAUCAGGUCCCCUCUUGCCCCUGUGAGAGUUUCACACUUGAAUAAAUCCUAUUCCUUUCACUCUUGCCUUCUGUUGUCCCGUGAACUUUAUUCUUUGGAUUUGGAAGACAAGAACCUGAAAAGAAGUUGGCAGUGAGCUGCUGGGGUCUGUUGCAACACUGGAGGACACAGCUUGCCACUCAGAGUUGCAACACAUCAUUCCAUAGUAGUGAAGAAUCAGGCUUUGCUGGCUGCGACUUGGAGCUAAUGUCCAUAGGUAUCCUUUGCUGUGAUUAGCUGCUAACACUAAAACAGGCUUUCUUGGCUGCAGAGGCCUGCAGGAUACACAGACCCAACCACCAACAGAAGUGGAGAAUCUGUUCAAUAGUUUGAUGAGAUGACAAAGUUCUUACACAAAAGAAAAGCCUCUUUUUUUGUUGAUACCUAAAUUUUGUUUGUUUUUCCCCCUGUGUUUAAGUUCUUUGGGAAGAGAGCAAAAGCUCAGUCUAUGAAUUUUUGUUGCCCUAUUUGAAAU